rnacentral:lncRNA from 1 species
GUAAGUCCGCGCCCCGGCGCCACCGUGCGCCUCGCACUUCCCCGGCGCUGCCGGCGCUGCCUGUGCUGCGCACGCAGCCCGCGGGCUCCUCCGGCCACGGGGACAGCGGGGUCCUCGAGCGCGUAGCCGGGCGCCGGGACAGCGGGGCACUUUCGGGAGCUCCUCCAGCCGCGCAGGACGCGGUCCGCUGCCCCUUGCGCGUGUCCCCCGCGCGCUCUGCUCCCCUUGACUCGAUUUCCCUGAGCUUGGCUUCUGCCUGCGUCGCCUCCUUCCUCUGGGACUGUUUACUGGCUCUCGGGCUCGCGCACUCUGCUUCGGAGCUAGAGAGAAACACAGCUCGAAGCUGUUUCUCUCCGGCCGGCCGGGGUCUCCGGCGUCGGCGCUCGGUUCUGUCCCCUCCCCCCUUCCCCACCGCACCCCCUCUCGCCUUUGUUUCCCGGCCGGAGGAGCUCGCGGUGCAAACUUGCGAGUUCCGCGGGCUGCGCCCCCUCAGGGCCGUGGGGCGAGGCGGUGGCGGAGUUCCGGUCGCCCCCAAGUCUGGCGUGACCUGCCGGUAGAGGGGCGGGAGGCCGGCCAGGAGCAGCCGGGGGAUCAGAAAGUGGGGGAGUGUCUGGACCCCGGAGACUGUGCCCCUUAGACCAGGACCCGCACAGCGCCUGGCUCACACCCCUCUGCCGGGCUCCGGGGACGGCGAUGGCGGCCAAGCAGCCCCGCCUCUCAUGAAGAAGCACAGCCAGACGGACCUCGUGAGCCGCCUGAAGACUCCGGAAGAUCCUGGGCGUGGGCGGAGAGGAGCGAUGACGGGGAGGUGCACGCCUGCAAGGUGGGUCCCACCUAGGAGCAGAGCUGCUCCUGCAGUGGGUGCGGCGCCAGCCGCUGUCCGAGCAUUAACCUGGCUGCCCCAGAGUUGUAGAUUCAAGGAUGUACCCAUUGUACGGGUGAGGAAACAGGCUUGGAGAGGCUACGCUUGAGUUCUCAAGGCCACGCAGGCAGGUGGCAGGAACAGGCUUCGGCGCCCACAUCCGGCUGACACUGAGCUCUGGUUCUUAGUCCCCACAUUUCCAGCUUCUCUUAAACUCGGUGCCCAGAGGGAGGGAGGAGAGGGGCAGCCUCUUUCGCCAGCAGGGGGAACCCAGGCAGGUCCCAGGGAGCGCCUCUGACCCCCGUUGUGUCCACAGAUCAGCCAGGUCCUGGGCAGCUGAGAUCAAGUUUGCCGUCCGGGGAGCCCCUGGGGCUGAGGGUCUGGCAGUUCGUGUCCGCUGUGCUGUUCUCCGGCAUCGCCGUCAUGGCCCUGGCCUUUCCUGAGCAGCUCUACGAUGCUGUCUUCGACGGAGGCCGAGGUCACCAGCAAGACCCCAUCCGCCUCUGUGGGGGCGCCCUCCUCAGCAUCUCCCUGAUCAUGUGGAAUGCGGCUCUAGCACGGGCUGAGAAGGUCAUCAUCCGGUGGACGCUGCUCACGGAAGCCUGCUAGCCAGAGUCCAGUUUGUGGGUGAGUCCUGGGUGGCCUGUGGCAGGUUGCCAGGGGGCGAG